rnacentral:rRNA from 1 species
UACGUAGGGUGCAAGCGUUGUCCGGAAUUAUUGGGCGUAAAGAGCUCGUAGGCGGUCUGUCGCGUCUGCCGUGAAAGUCCGGGGCUCAACUCCGGAUCUGCAGUGGGUACGGGCAGACUAGAGUGCGGUAGGGGAGAUUGGAAUUCCUGGUGUAGCGGUGGAAUGCGCAGAUAUCAGGAGGAACACCGAUGGCGAAGGCAGCCCCCUGGGUCAAGAUUGACGCUCAUGCACGAAAGCGUGGGGAGCAAACAGG